GACGAACGCUGGCGGCGUGCUUAACACAUGCAAGUCGAACGGAAAGGCCCUGCUUUUGUGGGGUGCUCGAGUGGCGAACGGGUGAGUAACACGUGAGUAACCUGCCCUUGACUUUGGGAUAACUUCAGGAAACUGGGGCUAAUACCGGAUAGGAGCUCCUGCUGCAUGGUGGGGGUUGGAAAGUUUCGGCGGUUGGGGAUGGACUCGCGGCUUAUCCGCUUGUUGGUGGGGUAGUGGCUUACCAAGGGUUUGACGGGUAGCCGGCCUGGGAGGGUGACCGGCCACAUUGGUACUGAGAUACGGCCCAGACUCCUACGGGAGGCAGCAGUGGGGAAUAUUGCACAAUGGGCGGAAGCCUGAUGCAGCAACGCCGCGUGCGGGAUGACGGCCUUCGGGUUGUAAACCGCUUUCGCCUGUGACGAAGCGUGAGUGACGGUAAUGGGUAAAGAAGCACCGGCUAACUACGUG
rnacentral:rRNA from 1 species